rnacentral:rRNA from 1 species
AUCGGUGACAGGUGGUGCAUGGUUGUCGGUCAGCUCGUGUCGUGAGAUGUGGUAGUCCGCAACGAGCGCAACCCCUAUUGUUAGUUGCCAUCAUUCAGUUGGGCACUCCAGCGAGACUGCCGGUAAUAAACCGGAGGAAGGUGGGGAUGACGUCAAAUCAUCAUGCCCCUUAUGACCUGGGCUACACACGUGCUACAAUGGUUGGUACAACGAGUUGCGAGUCGGUGACGGCGAGCUAAUCUCUUAAAGCCAAUCUCAGUUCGGAUUGUAGGCUGCAACUCGCCUACAUGAAGUCGGAAUCGCUAGUAAUCGCGGAUCAGCACGCCGCGGUGAAUACGUUCCCGGGCCUU